UGGGGAAUCUUGGACAAUGGGCGCAAGCCUGAUCCAGCCAUGCCGCGUGGAUGAUGAAGGCCUUAGGGUUGUAAAAUCCUUUCGCCGAGGACGAUAAUGACGGUACUCGGAGAAGAAGCUCCGGCUAACUUCGUGCCAGCAGCCGCGGUAAUACGUAGGGUGCGAGCGUUACUCGGAAUUACUGGGCGUAAAGCGUGUGUAGGUGGCUUGUUAAGUCCGAUGUGAAAUCCCUGAACUCAAUUCAGGAACUGCAUUGGAUACUGGCAGGCUUGAGUAUAGGAGAGGUAAGCGGAAUUCCAGGUGUAGAGGUGAAAUUCGUAGAUAUCUGGAGGAACAACAGAGGCGAAAGCGGCUUACUGGACUAUUACUGACACUGAGAUGCGAAAGCGUGGGGAGCAAACAGGAUUAGAUACCCCCGUAGUCCCUGAGCGGGCUGGCAAGGCGCAU
rnacentral:rRNA from 1 species